GUGGGGAAUCUUAGACAAUGGGCGCAAGCCUGAUCUAGCCAUGCCGCGUGAGCGAUGAAGGCCUUAGGGUUGUAAAGCUCUUUCGUGGGGGAAGAUAAUGACGGUAGUCGGAGAAGAAGCCCCGGCUAACUUCGUGCCAGCAGCCGCGGUAAUACGAAGGGGGCUAGCGUUGUUCGGAAUUACUGGGCGUAAAGCGCACGUAGGCGGAUAUUUAAGUCAGGGGUGAAAUCCCAGAGCUCAACUCUGGAACUGCCUUUGAUACUGGGUAUCUCGAGUAUGGAAGAGGUGAGUGGAAUUCCGAGUGUAGAGGUGAAAUUCGUAGAUAUUCGGAGGAACACCAGUGGCGAAGGCGGCUCACUGGUCCAUUACUGACGCUGAGGUGCGAAAGCGUGGGGAGCAAACAGGAUUAGAUACCCCGGUAGUCC
rnacentral:rRNA from 1 species